AGUUGAUCCUGGCUUAGGAUGAACGCUAGCUACAGGCUUAACACAUGCAAGUCGAGGGGCAGCAUGAGAUUAGCUUGCUAAUCUUGAUGGCGACCGGCGCACGGGUGAGUAACGCGUAUCCAACCUUCCCCUUAGUAGGGCAUAGCCCGGCGAAAGUCGGAUUAAUACCCUAUGUUCUUCGUAGAGGACAUCUGAAAUGAAGCAAAGAUUUAUCGCUAAGGGAUGGGGAUGCGUCUGAUUAGGUAGUCGGCGGGGUAACGGCCCACCGAGCCUGCGAUCAGUAGGGGUUCUGAGAGGAAGGUCCCCCACAUUGGAACUGAGACACGGUCCAAACUCCUACGGGAGGCAGCAGUGAGGAAUAUUGGUCAAUGGGCGCGAGCCUGAACCAGCCAAGUAGCGUGCAAGGAUGACGGCCCUAUGGGUUGUAAACUGCUUUUAUGCGGGGAUAAAGUGCACCACGUGUGGUGUUUUGUAGGUACCGCAUGAAUAAGGACCGGCUAAUUCCGUGCCAGCAGCGGC
rnacentral:rRNA from 1 species